rnacentral:rRNA from 1 species
GACAGAGGGUGCAAACGUUGUUCGGAAUUACUGGGCGUAAAGCGCGUGUAGGCGGCCAUCUAAGUCGGGCGUGAAAUCCCACGGCUCAACCGUGGAAGUGCACUCGAAACUGGAUGGCUAGAGUCCUGGAGAGGAAGGUGGAAUGCUUGGUGUAGAGGUGAAAUUCGUAGAUAUCAAGCGGAACACCGGUGGCGAAGGCGGCCUUCUGGACAGUGACUGACGCUGAGACGCGAAAGCUAGGGGAGCGAACGGG